GCGCUGGAGGAGAGGAGCCAAGAGGGCUACGGGAAGCUAAAGUGUUUUUCUUUCAGGAAUAUAUGUGCCGGCACCCAUGGAUUAGUGGGUGAUGGGGCAGAAUAGCCAUCUGUGCUGCUGUGUACUGGGAGUACUGGGAGCAGGUCAUGACCUGUCGUGACUGGGGUAGCGCAGCAGAAGGAAAAUGUGGUGCUGGCCCUCUACAGAUUCCCGCCGAGAAAGGAAGCUUUGGGAGAGCUAUAGGGCUCCUCUCUGCAGGAGCAUGUGCUGGAGAGGAGCUGGUGAGCAUUCGCUCUUGGAUCUUGCAUCCCUAUACGCUUAGGCAAGUGAAGGCACUGAAAGAGAAGAUUGAAUCAGAAAGGGGGAAAGAUGCUUUUCCAGUAGCUGGCCAAAAACUAAUUUAUGCAGGUAAAAUCCUUAAUGAUGAUACUGCUCUUAAAGAAUACAAAAUAGAUGAGAAGAACUUUGUGGUGGUUAUGGUGACAAAACCCAAAGCAGCAGCAGCUGGAGUGACUCCGCAGUUAAAUGCUUCUACCACUAUCAGCUCGACAACUGCAGCUCCCACACCAGUCACUGCACCAGUCCCUGCUGCUGCCCCUGUGCCAGCUCCGGUCCCUCCACCACCAGCAGCAGAUGCAGUUGCUUGUGAAUCUGCACCUGUGAGUGCUCCUAAAGAGGAGAAGCCAGCAGAAAAACCACCUGAAGCACCAGCUGCUGUCAGCCCAUCAUCAACUGACAGUACAACAGGUGAUACAUCUCGAUCAAAUCUUUUUGAGGAUGCUAUAAGUGCACUUGUGACAGGUCAGUCCUAUGAGAACAUGGUGACUGAGAUCAUGUCAAUGGGCUAUGAACGAGAGCAAGUAAUUGCGGCGCUGAGGGCCAGCUUCAACAAUCCUGACAGAGCGGUGGAAUACCUUUUAAUGGGUAUACCUGGAGACAAUCAGGCUGUGGCUGAACCCCCUCAAGCAGCAAGCACUGGUGCCUCUCAGUCUUCAGCAGUGGCAGCUGCAGUAGCAACUAUACCUACAACUACUAGUUCAUUAGGAGGACAUCCACUUGAGUUUUUACGAAAUCAGCCUCAGUUCCAGCAGAUGAGACAAAUAAUUCAGCAAAAUCCAUCUCUGUUACCGGCAUUGCUACAGCAGAUUGGACGGGAAAACCCUCAACUGCUGCAGCAAAUAAGCCAACACCAGGAACAUUUUAUUCAUAUGUUGAAUGAGCCAGUUCUAGAGUCCCGCCAGGGUUUAAGUGGCAGUGGUGAUGGUGCCAGCACUGGAGGAGUAGCAGAAGCUGGAAAUGGUCAUAUGAACUACAUUCAAGUAACACCUCAGGAAAAAGAAGCUAUAGAAAGGUUAAAGGCAUUAGGAUUUCCUGAAGGACUUGUGAUACAGGCAUAUUUUGCAUGUGAGAAGAAUGAAAACUUGGCUGCCAACUUUCUUCUACAGCAGAACUUUGAUGAAGAUUGAGAGACAUUUUUUUAUUUCACACCUCACACCAGUGCAUUACACUAACUUUGUUCACUGGAUUGUCUGGGAUAUUUGGGCUUAUAUUCACAAUGCUUGAUGUAUGGUAUAUGGGGAUGUGGAGAGAAGAGAACAUAGGAAACAAAGCAAAGAAAGCAGCAUGUAUGUCUGCUUUAAAUUAGCAGAUGCAGAAAACCACACAGUGUAAAAUAAUAUACAACCAAAAAUCGGCUUCUGCAGAUAAUUAGUUCCUUCUAUAAACUAUAGAUUAACUUUUUCUAGGUUUUCACUCUUACUGUACUAGUUCCAGAACUGUAGUGUAAUGCCCUGCUUCAUGUUCCUUUCUACUUAGUAUUGGUAUUGGAAGUAGCCUGUGCUACCUAGAUUAUACAAUCUGUAUUUCAUGGCAACCCUGGAUAGCAGCUUUGUGAAAUCUAAAAGAUCUGAGCAAAUGUAAACAUGAAUGCCAAAAUAUGGCUACUUAUUUUGCUUUUUCAUAUGUGUUAAAGUAGUGCAAGAAGCACAGUAUUUUGUUUAAUGCCAGAUUAAAACAAUGUGGGCUUUUUUUUUCCAAAUGAAAACCCAUUUCAGUUAAAAGUGUCUUGAUCAUUGAGAAGCAUCACCCCAUCUUUUGCCCCUCUCAAAUGAUCUGAGAAGCUAUAUACAUACAGGUAAAAUUAUUAUCCUGUUUACAUCUUUUCUUUGGGGAAAAAAAUGAUAGAUAUCUAAUUACUGUUCACUUCAAUGUUAUGUUGCAGUAAAAGUUUUAAAAGCAAUAGAUUGCAUGUUUGGUUUUGUUAUAUGCGCUCUUGUGAACUGAAUAUUAUUCUUCUGUCAGCAAAUUUUUGUCCACUGCAAUGAGACUUUAUCAAAUCAAAUUUCACCUUCCUACCUUUGUUGAACCAGCUUUACAAUACAGUUGUAAGCAUCUGAAGAUAUUGCCAUUCUGUUGCUCUUGAGUAUUUGUAACAAUCAAGCUAUUUCUGUUCAGUAAGGACAUUUUUGGAUUCAUGCACUUUAUGAGGAAGAGAGGUUCAUAACUUGAGAUACCAAGCAAGCAGUCAAGUUAUUCCAACCCAAAAGAAUCUGCACUCAUACCUUUCUGUUGAAAAUAAGCUCUGAUUAUAGAGUUUUGAAUCUUACUUGUAAUUUAUUUUGUUUAGUCAUCAUAAAAUGUAAUAAUCUUUUUUUUAAUAUACAUUGACUUUUAGAGACAAUUUUGCCAUCAUGGCAAUGGUAGCAAUGAAAACAAAUUCUGAUUUAAUCUAAAGCUAUUAUGUGCAGCAUUUCCUGCACACAACUUGGGGAUGUUUUGAGUUUUUACUGUUGUACUCCAAUUACCUGGCUACAAAUUUAUCUCUACAGUAACCAAGAAAAUAUUAUUAUUGGUCCAGCACUGAGCUGUUGUAUCACUAAUGAUAUUAAUGAUUUAGUGGUACAACUAAAGAUUAUUUUCUGCUUAGGUUGUGUAUCAGUGGAUUAACUACUUAACUACUGCUUAAGCUCAAAGUACAAGUCAAGUGUCUUGAGAAAAGAGAGCAAAAAAGACUGAAAGCAUUGGAACAGUGUUUGUGUGACUUCUGAUGAACAACACGUGUCUGACCUUACAUGCUAGCAAAAACUGUUAUCUGUUCAAUAGUGGGAUACUUGCCAUGUAUCUCUUUGUAGUUGCUGCCAAAAGGGAAGACUGCAUGGAACUUGUAUGGUGUUGAGAAGCAGUUUGUGGGCCUGCUUGCAGACACUGUACAGAUCACAGGGUAUGAAUCACCAAGCUGUGGCACAUUCAACUCUGGAGAUGAGUCCUGAGAAUCUGGAGCAUCCCCUGUCCUCUGCUGUCAGCAAAUAUCUGUGAAGGCUACAAAGUUUCUGUCAUCUUGUUCUCAUUGCUAUUCUGCUUGAAGGAUAAUAUCCUAUAACAAUUAUAAGCUGCUGCUUUAAAUGAAGUGGGAAGGCUGUGUGAUUUUGACCACCAUCUGUGAACCACGAAGGGAUGGAAUUUGAAUCAGUUUUUCAUAUGGGCAACCUUAACUUCAUGGUCGGAUUGGCAGAUGGAUGUGCUGCAUUUUUUGUUUCAGGGUCAUUUGCGUCUUAAGCUUAUUUGAAUAAUGGAGGAUGUUAUUCUUAAUAUAAUGAAGUAAGAUUCAAGUCAAAUGUUGGACCAGGUUGCCCCUAGUGGUUGUGUUUUCUCCAUCCUUGGAGGUUAUCAAGUCCUGAGCCCUGAGCAUUCUGGUAUCAUCCUGUGGCUGACCCUGUUUUGAGCAGGAGGUUCAAGUAUUUCGGUCAUGCAACCUUAACAUUCUGGUGGGGACAUAACUUCUAUGAAGGCUUAUCUUCAGUUUCCAUAUCCUGUCCUUUCUUUUGUUUGUUUGUUUUUUAAGUGUAGAGGCUGACUAAAGAGCACUUGAAUACUCAAUUCUGCCACCUUCAUCCUGUGUCUCUUCAUAUUUUAAACAGACCUGUAGAAAUGAACAAAGCAAGCUUGGCUGACACUCAAAAAUUCAUCAGUGAUGUCAACACAAAAUAGAUUAGGCUUAAAUGUCUUUCUUGGGUUCUGAUGUGUGAGGAAAACAGGUUGCAGAAUCAGGUAGAGUUAGCUGACAAUUCCUAUCCGAUGAUAUGUGACAUUGCCAUAAAUUGAAAAAAAGGAUUUUUGAAUGGCUUAUCAUAUAAGUGCCCUAUGCAUUUCUGUAUUAUUUACUGUAAAAUUGUCUGGCCUCCUUUACCUGCUAUGGAAGCAACUGCACAGUUGUAUAUUUUCAGAAACACUGCUUCCACAAGGGGCUUACUUUCCCAUCUCUCCUCCAGUUAAAAGCUUCUAUUACAGUUUGUGAAAAAUCUUCUUUUCAAGAGGCAAAAGCCCUCCCAAAAAGCAUAGGGGGUGUGCAUGUGGGGAUUAAGCAGAUCAUCCAGAUGAAUUUUCUAAAAAGUAAAGACUGAAGUAAUUUUAGAAAAUGUUAUUAGAAAGCCCUUACUGUUUUCAGAUCAGCUAUACAGCUCAACACUCUUGUUCACUCUGUCUGCGUUGGAAGAAAUGAGUAGAAUAAGCCAUAAAUACCAUACAGGUUUCAGUUGUUGCCUGGAAAUGAAAACUCUGGAAACCAAGAUGGGUUUAGAGAGGAGAUACUGCUUUAUUUGGCACCGAGUGCAGGGUGGAAUAUUUCCACAAAUCAAGCACAUCAAGCUUAGAUUUACUCCCUUAUUUAUACAUCAUAAAUAUAUUUUCCACACCUAGCUAAUACGUAUUCACUAGCCUGUCUUUGCACACUCAUCUUCAUCGCUUGACAGUCUAAUUAUCUACCUAUUAAAGCUAUAGCGUUCUUUUAAUUCACUGUGCCUGCAUAUGAGGAGUGUGUGGGGGUACUUGUUUCAUUCCUCAGUUGGGUCGGUGGUUGCAAUCUCUCCCCCUGCUGGAAUUAGCUUUCACCCAGUUUCCUUCUGUCUUGUCCAUGUUAUCCUGUAAUGUCUGCAACCCUCUGUUUGGCCUUCCUCCUUAGUCCAGCCUAUCUUGGAAUGUCCGCAGCCCUCUGUAGGGCUUCGCAGUAAAUUGCUUUGAUAAUGCCUGAAGUGAUUUAAGUCUGUCUAUUCCAUUAACACAGACUUGUUCUUUACUUUUAAUUUUGACUCAAGGAUAACAACGUAGACUUGCCUCGAGGAGAAAACCAGUUGAGUCCCUUGGGUGAAAUGUGAGACGGUGGGAGAAAUUGCAUAGUGGAGUCCCUGUAGGCUGUAACAGGGACAGAAAUGUGCUAAGAUUGUUCUGGUGGAAGAAACAGGGUAAGCUUUCACAGUGUGCCAGUGUGUUGGGUUUUCAGACCAUUCUGGUGAGUGUGGAGCAAAGCAAAUGCACAAGCCAUUGCUUGCUGUUCUGUUUUCUGCUCUGGGUUGGUGUCUAGCUAGAUGUCAUUUCCCUUGAUAUUCUCUGACUGUGGGACUGUCAUGAUGGAAUUACAAGGUAGGUCCCACUCACUUUGUUGGGAUAUCUUUAAGUUCGGCUAGUAACAUUGAUGACUAAGGGAGAGGUAGCACAGUGGCAUUUCUAAACAGAAUUAAUUUUAUCUGUCAACAAGUUAUUUCGUUGGGUAGAAGUUGGGAAAAAGUGGAAACCUGUCCUACUUCUUGUAACGGCUGGUACUGAACAUUUAGAAACAAAACCAGUCUUUCACCACUUACCGUUGUGCAGCGACUACUUCUGUCACGUCUUCUCAGGUUUUUAUGCUUCAGAACUUGUACAUUCCAGCUGUCUACAUUGAAAAAUGGGGCUCUCGUUAUCCUGAAUCAGCCUGUCAAUCCGCAAGGUGUAAAACAGCAUAAGUGUUAUCAAGACUUUUAGGAGCAAGGAGGUCACAGCUCCAUUUCAUCCACAAAAGUAAUGCAUUGGGUUUUGGGAGAUGCUUGCUAAAAUGUCUCCUGAUCCUUUAAGGCUGAAUGGCUUUGGUCUCCAUGCUACUGAAGUGCUUUGUUCAGUGAAAAAAAGGCAAUGUGAAAAGGAAUGUUCAUGUGGAAGCUUCUCAGAGGUUUGUCACCUAAUAAUCUCUCAACAAUUAAGAGCAGACUGGGGGUGGAAGGAGGCAUUCCUAUGGUGGGAUGACAGGGCCGAAUGAGGUGCUGUAACCAUCUGUUUACUAUUUCACUUCAAAAGACCCCCUCAUUAUCAGUCCUGAAGUUACCAUGCACCUUUCUAGCUGUGAGAAAAUAGAAGAAAUCAUUUGCUUCUCAAGCCUGUCUCUCUUGCUAAUGCACACAGUCUGAGCUAUCCCAAGUGUAUAAAUUGUUUGAGCUCAUUCCUGAGUGCUAAAAAUGUCCUGACAAACCAGUGAAUGGAACUUUCCGCAGUGGAUGUGGAAGGAAACGUUUAGGCUAAGGGAGCACUCUGCUGUGUUCCUGAAUGGAGGUCUACAUUUUGAGCGCCUGCCUGCCUGGGCUCUGUCCAGAUUUGAGCCUGAGCAGACUGAGAAGGAGGCAGUAACUGAGAGAAACAAGCCACGCAUUGGAUGGGUACUCAGUGCAAACAAAUGAGCCAUCUGCUGACCAGACAGUGUCAUAUUGUACAGGGUUUUCUGACAGAGAAAACAAAUAACGAUACUGCUGCUGUUUGAAUGAGAACAGUGUACUUGGUGCUGUGAAGGACUCCAGGUACACUGACAGUAUAGGAAUAAAUCUUCCACACCAUUAGGUUACUCCUUGAUGCCAGUCUGAGAGCCUGAAAAUAGUCUUGUCUGCUUUUUAGACUUUUUGUGUUUUCUGUACGUCUCUUUGACUGUAUUAGCAAAUUAAAAAACUUGUAACUGCUUUUCUUUUUUCCAUCCCUUCUGGAUCCAGUGUUGGAGAUCACUUUUGAAACAAUCACUGACAAUAAGUGGAGGCUCUGUGGUGACUUGAAGGUGUAACAGAUAAAAUGAGGGGGGAAGAGUAAGUUUUUCUCAACCUCCCUGUCCAAAAUAACCCUAGUGUCCCCGAAAUCACCUCUCUGUUGCAUCUUGGUCUUGCCUUACAAAAAAGAUGGUGGUGCCUAAAUAAAAAUGGAAGUGUGAAUGACAUCAGUUGGCCAAAGGCUAUAUUGCACCAUAGCAUAUAGUAAAGGACCCUGUUAUGUUACAACUCCCCUUGUCCCUGAAGGCCUCCUGUAAUUAUUGUGGAAAUCUUGCUCCCAUGAGGAACAAGCUGAUCUAUAGGUGGUGGUGUCAGCCUGUGAGGGGUUUACCUGUGUGAUACCUAACUAGGUGGGGUUUUGUGUGAGGUGCUUGAAUGACACCUCGGCUUGAAUAGAAGUUUAAUUUUAUGGUUCACACCAAGUGGAGGGCUUUCAGUGCCCAAAUGGCACCUCAGCCUUCAUGGGGAUUUUGGUAGGUAUUCGGUUUCUUUAGACAGACUUCAUUGUCUGGAAAACUUGUUUUGAAAGUGGACCCCUCAUGUUAAAUUUCUGGCAGCUAGAUCGUUUGUUGUCACUUCAGCACUGGUGACUUCCAUCACUCAUGGCAAGAAAAAAAUUCAGAAAAAAUGUAAUUAGAAAUUAGCUUUAUGGGAAUUUUUAGUAACUAUAACAAAGGACAAGAUCGCUUGUCAAAACCAGGUCAACCGACACAUAGCCCAAUCUGUACCCCUGUCACUAGGUUAGCCUGGAUCAUCUCUGCUGUCGUCUGAAGCAGCUGGCAGUGCUGAAGUCAAGUACUAGGCUGCUUUAGAUCUGAUGUAGACUGAUAAUUACCCUUCUUGUAAGACGCUGCAGCCUGUUUGGAUACUCUGCUUGUCAUGUGAACAUGAAUGAGUCUGUCUUCAGGAAGUCAAGCUGUCUUUGGUGAUAAGUUCAGUGCACAUACUGCAGUAAAAUAAUAAACUGGGGGAAGUGGGUUUUACUUGUCCAAAUAAAAGGCAGAACAACCCCCACCAAGUAGUCCUUUGAGUGCCAGAAAUAAUAAAGCCUGGCUACGUAUGGGUUUGUGGCUCUUGAUACACAUUGAGCCCUCAUGGAACUUUUAUUUAUGCUGAGAUGUUUAUAAAACUUCUCAUUCUCUUGUGAAUUUUUUGGUUUCUAACUGCAUAGGGAUAAGCCUGCGUGACAGUCUGCUUUUCCGUAGCAUGAUGAAGUUGUCUUUAGCUAUUAAACUCCUAGGGGUGCAAACCUCUGUCCCAGUCAAAUUUGUUUAAUAGGUUUGGGGGAGGACUGGAGGUGGCUAUAAUGGGUAGAUAAGACCACAACAUUCUUGAAUAUAUCAAUCUCAUUGAUACAACUUCUUAGGAAACAAAAUUCUCUUCAGAAGCUUAGCAAAAAACCCAAAUCCUAGAACAGAGCCCUAAAUCCUCGGUGACAUAUGAACUUGUCACCAUCAGUUCCCCAUGUGCCAUUGUGGACACUUUUUUUCACAUUGAAUGCCUGAGCCCAUCCAACAUUUUUGGAUGAAUAGCCAUUAUUGAGCCGUUCUUUUAUUUGCUGAUGGAUAUCUCAGGUAGCUACACCAGUUUUCCCAACUGCCCUUCUGAGUAGGGCUUUUGUUUUAAGAGGCCUUUAUUAUUGUUGAAGUGUCUGAUAAAGAUACAGUGACCUUCAAGCUAAAGCAUGGAACCGUUUGCAUUGCAUAAUUACAUUUCAGAUACUAUUUUAAACUUUUCCAGGUCUCCCAGUAACUCCUCUGCAGGUUUUGUCAGCACCCCAUAAAAGCAGUACAUUACAGAUGUUUCAGUCUUCUCCACUACGGCAUGCUGGCUGCUGCGUGAGUUUCAGAUGACGCUGAUGUUUUGCAGACCCUCUGGAGGAACUGAAACAAAGACUGUGAGGUUUGGAAACUCCACUUUCCUUGGAGACCUCUUUGCAAAGUCAGACCGCUCGAAGGAAGGCUAAGCCUAAAUAAGAAUCGGACACUGUUCAGAGUGCAGGGGGCAGACAAACGGAACCAUUAAUUUGCUUUUUGAAAUGGGGCAACAGAGGAUAUUGCAAGGGCUGGAGCAUCUGCUGAUGUGAAUUAUCACAGUUUUACUGGUCAGGGGAUUCAUAUCCAUUCAUCCCAGCUGGGAAUGUGUCACUGAGUGAUAGUUUAGUGGUUUACACCAUCAGCAUUGAGAGAGAUAAAAAAGCAACAUCAGAAAAAAAAAAAACCAGCAACAAUCUGCUUAGCUUGAUAUAUGGGGCAUUAAAGCCCUACCUUAAAACUAAAUAGAAGAAGCCUACACUUUGUAGUUAAUUUGGAAAUGGGAUUCUAGUCGCUGUUCAUACAAGUAGGGUGAUUGUAUAGGCAGGCAGUCCUGUUAAAUAUGAGG